rnacentral:ribozyme from 1 species
UUACCGUCGAACAAUAUAGUUUCUUCGGUGCCAGUUUCCAGUGUAUCGCCGUUUGGAAUCCCUGCAUUUCCAGCAAACUCUGUGAAAAUUCAAAAAAUGCCAAGUUCUGCUG